AUUGAACGCUGGCGGAAUGCUUUACACAUGCAAGUCGAACGGCAGCACGGGUGCUUGCACCUGGUGGCGAGUGGCGAACGGGUGAGUAAUACAUCGGAACGUACCCAGUCGUGGGGGAUAACGUAGCGAAAGUUACGCUAAUACCGCAUACGUCCUGAGGGAGAAAGCGGGGGACCGUAAGGCCUCGCGCGAUUGGAGCGGCCGAUGUCUGAUUAGCUAGUUGGUGAGGUAAAGGCUCACCAAGGCGACGAUCAGUAGCUGGGCUGAAAGGAUGAUCGGCAACACUGGAACUGAGACACGGUCCAGACUCCUACGGGAGGCAGCAGUGGGGAAUUUUGGACAAUGGGAGAAAGCCUGAUCCAGCCAUUCCGCGUGAGUGAAGAAGGCCUUCGGGUUGUAAAGGACUUUUGUCAGGGAGGAAAUCCUAGUGGCUAAUAACUACUGGGGAUGACAGUACCUGAAGAAUAAGCACCGGCUAACUACGUACCAGCCGCCGCCGUAAAAC
rnacentral:rRNA from 1 species